rnacentral:rRNA from 1 species
UGGGGAAUAUUGCACAAUGGGCGCAAGCCUGAUGCAGCCAUGCCGCGUGUAUGAAGAAGGCCUUCGGGUUGUAAAGUACUUUCAGCGGGGAGGAAGGCGUUGUGGUUAAUAACCACAGCGAUUGACGUUACCCGCAGAAGAAGCACCGGCUAACUCCGUGCCAGCAGCCGCGGUAAUACGGAGGGUGCAAGCGUUAAUCGGAAUUACUGGGCGUAAAGCGCACGCAGGCGGUCUGUUAAGUCAGAUGUGAAAUCCCCGGGCUCAACCUGGGAACUGCAUUUGAAACUGGCAGGCUUGAGUCUCGUAGAGGGGGGUAGAAUUCCAGGUGUAGCGGUGAAAUGCGUAGAGAUCUGGAGGAAUACCGGUGGCGAAGGCGGCCCCCUGGACGAAGACUGACGCUCAGGUGCGAAAGCGUGGGGAGCAAACA